GACGAACGCUGGCGGCGUGCUUAACACAUGCAAGUCAAACGGAAAGGCCCUGCUUUUGUGGGGUGCUCGAGUGGCGAACGGGUGAGUAACACGUGAGUAACCUGCCCUUGACUUUGGGAUAACUUCAGGAAACUGGGGCUAAUACCGGAUAGGAGCUCCUGCUGCAUGGUGGGGGUUGGAAAGUUUCGGCGGUUGGGGAUGGACUCGCGGCUUAUCAGCUUGUUGGUGGGGUAGUGGCUUACCAAGGCUUUGACGGGUAGCCGGCCUGAGAGGGUGACCGGCCACAUUGGGACUGAGAUACGGCCCAGACUCCUACGGGAGGCAGCAGUGGGGAAUAUUGCACAAUGGGCGGAAGCCUGAUGCAGCAACGCCGCGUGCGGGAUGACGGCCUUCGGGUUGUAAACCGCUUUCGCCUGUGACGAAGCGUGAGUGACGGUAAUGGGUAAAGAAGCACCGGCUAACUACGU
rnacentral:rRNA from 1 species